UACGAGUACCCCAAGCGUUAUCCGGAAUCAUUGGGCGUAAAGGGUGCGUAGGCGGCGGGGCAAGUCGGAUGUGAAAUCUCAGGGCUCAACCCUGAAACUGCAUUCGAUACUGCCUUGCUCGAGGACUGGAGAGGAGAUUGGAAUUCACGGUGUAGCAGUGAAAUGCGUAGAUAUCGUGAGGAAGACCAGUGGCGAAGGCGGAUCUCUGGACAGUUCCUGACGCUGAGGCACGAAGGCCAGGGGAGCAAACGGG
rnacentral:rRNA from 1 species